rnacentral:rRNA from 1 species
UGGGGAAUAUUGCACAAUGGGCGCAAGCCUGAUGCAGCCAUGCCGCGUGUGUGAAGAAGGCCUUCGGGUUGUAAAGCACUUUCAGCGAGGAGGAAGGUGGCGAACUUAAUACGUUCAUCAAUUGACGUUACUCGCAGAAGAAGCACCGGCUAACUCCGUGCCAGCAGCCGCGGUAAUACGGAGGGUGCAAGCGUUAAUCGGAAUUACUGGGCGUAAAGCGCACGCAGGCGGUUUGUUAAGUCAGAUGUGAAAUCCCCCGGGCUCAACCUGGGAACUGCAUUUGAAACUGGCAAGCUAGAGUCUCGUAGAGGGGGGUAGAAUUCCAGGUGUAGCGGUGAAAUGCGUAGAGAUCUGGAGGAAUACCGGUGGCGAAGGCGGCCCCCUGGACGAAGACUGACGCUCAGGUGCGAAAAGCGUGGGGAGCAAACAGGAUUAGAUACCCCUGGUA